rnacentral:rRNA from 1 species
UACGUAGGGUGCAAGCGUUGUCCGGAAUUAUUGGGCGUAAAGAGCUCGUAGGCGGCUUGUCGCGUCGGCUGUGAAAACCUGGGGCUCAACCCUGGGCCUGCAGCCGAUACGGGCAAGCUAGAAUUCGGUAGGGGAGACUGGAAUUCCUGGUGUAGCGGUGAAAUGCGCAGAUAUCAGGAGGAACACCGAUGGCGAAGGCGGGUCUCUGGGCCGAUACUGACGCUGAGGCGCGAAAGCGUGGGGAGCGAACAGG